AGAGUUUGAUCCUGGCUCAGGAUGAACGCUGGCGGUGUGCCUUAGGCAUGCAAGUCGAACGAUAAUCCUUCGGGAUUAUAGUGGCGGACGGGUGAGUAACGCGUAGGAACCUACCCCUUGGCGGGGAAUAGCCAGCCGAAAGGUUGGGUAAUACCGCAUAAUCUCUUCGGAGCAAAGAGCAUAACUGCUCACCGAGGGAGGGGCCUGCGUACUAUCAGCUUGUUGGUGAGGUAACGGCUCACCAAGGCGACGACGGGUAUUGGGCGUGAGAGCGUGACCCAACACAUCGGGACUGAGACACGGCCCGGACACCUACGGGUGGCUGCAGCAACGAAUAUUCCGCAAUGGACGCAAGUCUGACGGAGCGACGCCGCGUGCAGGAAGAAGUCCCUCGGGAUGUAAACUGCUGUCAGGGGUUAGGAAUAAAUUGACCAACCCCACAGGAAGCACUGGCUAACUCCGUGCCAGCAGCCGCGGUAAUACGGAGAGUGCAAGCGUUGUUCGGAAUUACUGGGCUUAAAGAGCGUGUAGGCGGGAUGUCAGGUGCCUUGUGAAAGCCCCGGGCUCAACCCGGGAAUGGCUGGGCAAACCGACAUUCUUGAGGCAGGUAGAGGUGACUGGAACGACUGGUGGAGCGGUGAAAUGCGUAGAUAUCAGUUGGAACGCCGGAGGCGAAAGCGGGUCACUGGGCCUGUCCUGACGCUGAGACGCGAAAGCGUGGGUAGCGAACAGGAUUAGAUACCCUGGUAGUCCACGCCCGUAAACGAUGCGCACUAGGUAUGGGGAAGGUUCUGACACCGAUCGUGCCGAAGCAAAAGUGAUAAGUGCGCCGCCUGGGGAGUACGGCCGCAAGGCUAAAACUCAAAGGAAUUGACGGG
rnacentral:rRNA from 1 species